rnacentral:rRNA from 1 species
CACGUAGGGUGCGAGCGUUGUCCGGAAUUAUUGGGCGUAAAGAGCUCGUAGGCGGUUUGUUGCGUCGGCUGUGAAAACCUGAGGCUCAACCUCAGGCCUGCAGUCGAUACGAGCAGACUAGAGUGUUGCAGGGGAGACUGGAAUUCCUGGUGUAGCGGUGAAAUGCGCAGAUAUCAGGAGGAACACCGGUGGCGAAGGCGGUUCUCUGGGCAUGACCUGACGCUGAGGAGCGAAAGCAUGGGGAGCGAACAGG